rnacentral:rRNA from 1 species
GACGGAGGGUGCGAGCGUUAUUCGGAAUUAUUGGGCGUAAAGGGCGUGCAGGCGGCCGGUUAAGUCAGGUGUGAAAGCCCAGGGCUCAACCCUGGAAGUGCACUUGAUACUGGCUGGCUUGAGUUCGGGAGAGGGAAGCGGAAUUCCGGGUGUAGAGGUGAAAUUCGUAGAUAUCCGGAGGAACACCGGUGGCGAAGGCGGCUUCCUGGACCGAAACUGACGCUGAGACGCGAAAGCGUGGGGAGCAAACAGG